GCAGCAGGGGCAAAUGUCUGGAAAAUCGGGUGCGAGCGGUGCAGCGUUGCUGAAGGGACAGGUUCCCAGGAGAAACCAAGGAGUGGCCAGUGACUCUGCUAUAGACCUUCAAGCAUCAGUAAAGAGCAAAACCCACCUAUAGAGUACCUAUACAAUCAAGUUCCUGCUGGUAACUGAAUCACUGGACACAAUCAUAAAGCACAAGGCCCUCGUGAUCUGCUUCUGCAUGUCAGUGCUGAAUGGGACCUGAGAGAUCAUUUCAUCCAACUCCCAUUCGAUGACAGUGGGGAAGUUGAGGCCUGCUUAAUUAACAAGAUGGGCAACCUAAAAACUCACAUGUUCAACAUCUGCCAGGAGCCCUGCAAACUCAAUGAGCUAGACUUUAUGAGCCCAUUUUACAGAUGAAGAAACUGACAGCUCUGAGGAUAACUGACUUGUCCAAGGCCACAGAGCUGAAGAGGAACUGAACCAAGAUUGGAGCCCUGGGCUUUCUGAUUCAAAAGUGCAUGCUCUUGUCAGCACCAGGACACUGGAGGGGGUCCAGAGAGAUGUGCGGGCAGGACCCAGAUGUUCUGGCUGCAGAACCGGGUGUCCUGGACAGUCAGGGGUGGUUACAACACAGGCUUUCCUCACCUCACUGCCCACACUGGCCCUCCCACACCACAAGCUUCCCUUUUCAGUCUUCAGCUCACAGAAUUCUCCUCUCCAACCCAGCCUUCCCCAGACCAUCAAGUCCCUUCUGAAGUCUGACCCCAUGUCCCUGUGCUGCCCUUGCCCUUUGGAAAGGAUCAACCAGUGCCUCGCAUUUGUAAAGCACUACUGCUUCGGUUGAAUCAUUUCAGUUCCACGUUGGGUAAUGGCAUUAUCUCUAUUUUACAUUUGAAGAAACUAAGGUUCAGUCAGGUUUCUCAUGUGGCUCCUUGAACCCAGGUCAUCUGCCUGAUUCCAUACCUAGGGCUCUUUUUUCAUCUCAUCUCAGACACUUCAAAUCCAUCCGCAUCGGAAUUCCAGGCAUGAAAAUAAUGAGUGGCAUCUGUCCAAAAGCCCUUUCCCUGCUCCUGGUCCUCACUCUGUGCUCCUGUCUUCCCCAGGGAUCUGCUGUCACCCUACAGCUUUUUGUUGGCAAGGCUCGGGAACCAGAGGUCAAAAAGCUGGCAGAGCCCAUGUUCGGCAAGAACCCUCUUCCUGAC